rnacentral:rRNA from 1 species
UACGUAGGGCGCAAGCGUUAUCCGGAAUUAUUGGGCGUAAAGAGCUCGUAGGCGGUUUGUCGCGUCUGCCGUGAAAGUCCGGGGCUCAACUCCGGAUCUGCGGUGGGUACGGGCAGACUAGAGUGAUGUAGGGGGAGACUGGAAUUCCUGGUGUAGCGGUGAAAUGCGCAGAUAUCAGGAGGAACACCGGUGGCGAAGGCGGUUCUCUGGGCAUUACCUGACGCUGAGGAGCGAAAGUG